GAUCCUGGCUCAGGAUGAACGCUAGCGGCAGGCUUAACACAUGCAAGUCGAGGGUAUUGGUUUCGGUACCAAGAGACCGGCGCACGGGUGCGUAACGCGUAUGCAAUCUACCUUUUGCAGAGGGAUAGCCCAGAGAAAUUUGGAUUAAUACCUCAUAGUAUAGCAGUUUCGCAUGAAACCACUAUUAAAGUCACAACGGCAAAAGAUGAGCAUGCGUCCCAUUAGCUAGUUGGUAAGGUAACGGCUUACCAAGGCUACGAUGGGUAGGGGUCCUGAGAGGGAGAUCCCCCACACUGGUACUGAGACACGGACCAGACUCCUACGGGAGGCAGCAGUGAGGAAUAUUGGACAAUGGGCGCAAGCCUGAUCCAGCCAUGCCGCGUGCAGGAUGACGGUCCUAUGGAUUGUAAACUGCUUUUGUACAGGAAGAAACACUCCCUCGUGAGGGAGCUUGACGGUACUGUAAGAAUAAGGAUCGGCUAACUCCGUG
rnacentral:rRNA from 1 species